rnacentral:rRNA from 1 species
UACGGAGGAUGCAAGCGUUAUCCGGAAUCAUUGGGCGUAAAGCGUUCGUAGGUGGCUUUUCAAGUCUGCUGUCAAAGCACAAGGCUUAACCUUGUAAAGGCAGUGGAAACUGAAAUGGCUAGAGUGCGGUAGGGGUAGAGGGAAUUCCCAGUGUAGCGGUGAAAUGCGUAGAGAUUUGGGAAGAACACCGGUGGCGAAAGCGCUCUACUGGGCCUGCACUGACACUGAGGGACGAGAGCUAGGGGAGCGAAAGGG